CCUACGGGUGGCAGCAGUGGGGAAUAUUGCACAAUGGGGGAAACCCUGAUGCAGCGACGCCGCGUGAGUGAAGAAGUAAUUCGUUAUGUAAAGCUCUAUCAGCAGGGAAGAAAAUGACGGUACCUGAGUAAGAAGCCCCGGCUAACUACGUGCCAGCAGCCGCGGUAAUACGUAGGGGGCAAGCGUUAUCCGGAUUUACUGGGUGUAAAGGGAGCGUAGACGGCAGUGCAAGUCAGAGGUGAAAGGCUACGGCUCAACCGUAGUAAGCCUUUGAAACUGGGGAACUUGAGUGCAGGAGAGGAGAGUGGAAUUCCUAGUGUAGCGGUGAAAUGCGUAGAUAUUAGGAGGAACACCAGUUGCGAAGGCGGCUCUCUGGACUGUAACUGACACUGAGGCACGAAAGCGUGGGGAGCAAACAGGAUUAGAUACCCUUGUAGUC
rnacentral:rRNA from 1 species